rnacentral:lncRNA from 1 species
AUUCGUGUUCAUUCAAUAAACCAGAUAUUAAGAGUUUACAGGAGUCAGAACACAUGAAGUAGUUUUUUUUUUUUUUUUUUUUUUUUUUUUUUUAAGACAAAUUCAAAACCGGGCCAUUGCUUACUGAAGAAACCAGGAGGACACGAGCUGACAAAUUGACAUUCAACAAAUUCUUGGCAUGAAGCUUGAAAACAGUGGGAAACAGUAUCAGGCUUUCAACUCAAAGAGCCCCAUGGGGUCGAGACAAGCCAUGUUUGCUUGAAUGGAGAGGAAGAAUGAAUGACACAUAAGAGAACUUCAG